rnacentral:misc_RNA from 1 species
CCUAGAGUUGUAGGCUUUGCCUGCUAUCUCUUACCCAUGUCUUUUGAGUACUUACGUUUCCUCGGCGGGUCCGCCCGCCGAUUGGACAAUUUAAACCAUUUGCAGUUGCAAUCAGCGUCUGAAAAACUUAAUAGUUA